rnacentral:rRNA from 1 species
UACAGAGGUCCCAAGCGUUGUUCGGAUUCACUGGGCGUAAGGGUGCGUAGGCGGUCGGGUAAGUCUGAUGUGAAAUCUCACAGCUUAACUGUGAAACUGCAUUGGAUACUAUCCGGCUAGAGGAAUGGAGGGGAGACUGGAAUACUUGGUGUAGCAGUGAAAUGCGUAGAUAUCAAGUGGAACACCAGUGGCGAAGGCGAGUCUCUGGACAUUUCCUGACGCUGAGGCACGAAAGCCAGGGGAGCAAACGGGAUUAGACUAC